rnacentral:rRNA from 1 species
CAGAGACUGCAAGCGUUAUUCGGAUUCACUGGGCGUAAAGGGUGCGCAGGCGGCCAAGUGUGUUAGGCGUGAAAGCCCGGGGCUUAACCCGGAUUGCACCUAAACUACAUGGCUAGAGCAUUGGAGAGGGUAGCGGAAUUCACGGUGUAGCAGUGAAAUGCGUAGAUAUCGUGAGGAACACCAGAGGCGAAGGCGGCUACCUGGACAAUUGCUGACGCUCAGGCACGAAAGCGUGGGGAGGCAAAAGGGAUUAGAUACCCCUCGUAGUCCACGCCCUAAACGGUGCACACCAGGUCUUGGCGGAUUCGACCCCACCAGGGCCCAAGCUAACGCGUUAAGUGUGCCGCCUGAGGACUACGGCCGCAAGGCUA